UUAACUAUUUUAAUAAUAGGAUCUUUAAUUGCAAUUUCAGCAAACUCUUGAAUAGGAGCCUGAAUAGGUUUAGAAAUUAAUUUGUUAGCUUUUAUCCCCCUAAUAAGAGAUAAUAAAUUAAUAUCUACAGAAGCAUCUUUAAAGUACUUUUUAACUCAAGCACUAGCUUCUUCUGUAUUUUUAUUUGCAGUAAUUUUAUUUUUACUUAAUACUGGUAAAAAUAAUGCAAAUUUAAUAGAAAUAAUUAUUCUUUCUUCUUUAUUAUUAAAGAGAGGUUCUGCUCCUUUCCAUUUUUGAUUCCCUAAUGUAAUAGAAGGAUUAUCAUGAAUUAAUGCAUUAAUUUUAAUAACUUGACAAAAAAUUGCUCCGUUAAUAUUAAUUUCUUAUGUAAUUUUUAAGCCAUUAAUUAUUAUCAGAAUUAUUUUAUCAAGUUUAAUUGGUGCAUUAGGAGGUUUAAAUCAAACUUCUUUACGUAAAUUAAUAGCUUAUUCUUCAAUUAACCAUUUAGGAUGAAUAUUAGCUGCAAUAUAUAAUAGAAAUAUUUGACUAGUAUAUUUUUUAUUUUAUACAUUUUUAACAUUUUCAAUAGUGUUAAUAUUUAAUAUGUUUAAAAUUUCUUAUAUUAAUCAAUUAUUUUCUUUAUUUUUCCAUGAAAAAAGAAUUAAAUUUUUCUUAUUUUUUAAUCUUCUUUCAUUAGGAGGAUUACCCCCAUUUUUAGGAUUCUUACCAAAAAUAUUUGUAAUUCAAUCUUUAACUAUAAAUAAUCAAUUAUUUUUAUUAACUUUUAUAGUAAUAAUAACAUUAAUUACUUUAUAUUUUUAUAUUCGAUUAUGUUAUAGUGCUUUUAUACUAAACUAUUAUGAAAAUAGUUGAAUAACAUUUUCAUAUUAUAAGUCUUCAAAUAUAAAGCUUUUAUUAACUUUUUCUUAUAUUUCAACUUUUGGGUUAUUUUUAACUUCUUCCUUAUAUUUCUUUUUUUAAGGCUUUAAGUUAAAUAAACUAAUAGCCUUCAAAGCUAUCAAUAUAAGAAUAAUCUUUUAAGCCUUAGUAAAUUUAUUACUCCUUUAGAAUUGCAGUCUAAUGUCAUUAUUGACUAUAAAGCUAAUUGAUUAAAGAGAAAAAUUCUCAUAAAUAAAUUUACAAUCUAUUGCCUAAACUUCAGCCAUUUAAUCGCAACAAUGGUUAUUUCUACUAAUCAUAAAGAUAUUGGUACUUUAUAUUUUAUCUUCGGAGCAUGAUCUGGUAUAGUAGGAACAUCAUUAAGAAUUUUAAUUCGAGCUGAAUUAGGACACCCUGGUGCUCUAAUUGGAGACGAUCAAAUUUAUAAUGUUAUUGUAACAGCUCAUGCUUUUAUUAUAAUUUUCUUUAUAGUAAUACCUAUUAUAAUUGGAGGGUUUGGAAAUUGAUUAGUUCCUUUAAUAUUAGGAGCUCCAGAUAUAGCAUUCCCUCGAAUGAAUAAUAUAAGUUUUUGAUUAUUACCUCCUGCAUUAACUCUAUUAUUAGUAAGAAGUAUAGUAGAAAAGGGAGCUGGAACAGGUUGAACUGUUUAUCCACCUUUAUCAUCAAUUAUUGCUCAUGGUGGAGCUUCAGUUGAUUUAGCUAUUUUCUCUCUUCACUUAGCAGGAAUUUCUUCAAUUUUAGGAGCAGUAAAUUUUAUUACAACUGUUAUUAACAUACGAUCAACAGGAAUUACAUUCGAUCGAAUGCCUUUAUUUGUUUGAUCAGUUGUAAUUACUGCAUUAUUAUUAUUAUUAUCUCUUCCUGUUCUUGCUGGAGCUAUUACUAUACUAUUAACUGAUCGAAAUUUAAAUACUUCAUUCUUUGAUCCAGCUGGAGGAGGUGAUCCAAUUCUUUAUCAACACUUAUUCUGAUUCUUUGGACAUCCAGAAGUUUAUAUUUUAAUUUUACCUGGAUUUGGAAUAAUUUCUCAUAUUAUUAGUCAAGAAUCAGGAAAGAAGGAAACAUUCGGUUCUUUAGGAAUAAUUUAUGCUAUGUUAGCAAUUGGACUUUUAGGAUUUAUUGUAUGAGCUCAUCACAUAUUUACUGUUGGAAUAGACGUUGAUACUCGAGCUUACUUCACUUCAGCUACAAUAAUUAUUGCUGUACCUACUGGAAUUAAGAUUUUAGUUGAUUAGCUACAUUAUACGGAACUCAACUAACUUAUUCUCCAGCUAUUUUAUGAGCUUUAGGAUUCGUAUUCUUAUUUACUGUAGGAGGUUUAACAGGAGUAGUACUAGCUAACUCAUCUGUUGAUAUUAUUUUACAUGAUACAUAUUAUGUAGUUGCUCAUUUCCACUAUGUACUUUCUAUAGGAGCUGUAUUUGCUAUUAUAGCAGGAUUUGUACAUUGAUACCCUCUAUUUACUGUAUUAACUCUAAAUAAUAAACUUUUAAAAAGUCAAUUUGUUAUUAUAUUUAUUGGAGUAAAUUUAACAUUCUUCCCUCAACAUUUCUUAGGAUUAGCCGGAAUACCUCGACGAUAUUCUGAUUAUCCUGAUGCUUAUACAGCAUGAAAUGUAAUUUCAACAAUCGGUUCAACAAUUUCAUUAUUAGGAAUUUUAUAUUUAUUCUAUAUUAUCUGAGAAAGUUUAGUAUCUCAACGACAAGUAAUUUUCCCAAUUCAAUUAAAUUCAUCAAUUGAAUGAUUACAAAAUACUCCACCUGCUGAACACAGAUAUAAUGAAUUGCCUUUACUAACUAAUUUCUAAUAUGGCAGAUUAGUGCAAUGGAUUUAAGCUCCAUAUAUAAAGUAUUUUACUUUUAUUAGAAACUAAUGUCAACAUGAGCAAAUUUAGGUUUACAAGAUAGUUCUUCUCCAUUAAUAGAACAAUUAAUUUUUUUUCAUGAUCAUGCAUUAAUAAUUUUAGUAAUAAUUACAGUAUUAGUCGGAUAUUUAAUGUUUACAUUAUUUUUUAAUAAAUAUGUUAAUCGUUAUUUAUUACAUGGACAAACAAUUGAAAUUAUUUGAACUAUUUUACCUGCAAUUAUUUUAUUAUUCAUUGCUUUCCCUUCUUUACGAUUAUUAUACUUAUUAGAUGAAAUUAAUGAACCAUCAGUAACUUUAAAGGCUAUUGGUCAUCAAUGAUAUUGAAGUUAUGAAUAUUCAGAUUUUAAUAAUGUUGAAUUUGAUUCUUAUAUAAUUCCUACAAAUGAAUUACCAGUAGACGGAUUUCGUUUAUUAGAUGUAGAUAAUCGAGUAGUUUUACCAAUAAAUUCUCAAAUUCGAAUUUUAGUAACUGCUGCUGAUGUAAUUCAUUCAUGAACUGUUCCUGCUUUAGGUGUAAAGGUUGAUGGUACUCCUGGUCGUCUAAAUCAAACUAAUUUCUUAAUUAAUCGACCAGGUUUAUUCUAUGGACAAUGUUCAGAAAUUUGUGGAGCUAAUCAUAGUUUUAUACCAAUUGUAAUUGAAAGUAUUCCUGUAAAUUAUUUUAUUAAGUGAAUUUCUAAAAAUAAUUCUU